rnacentral:rRNA from 1 species
UACGGAGGGGACUAGCGUUGUUCGGAAUUACUGGGCGUAAAGCGCACGUAGGCGGAUUUGUAAGUCAGGGGUGAAAUCCCGGGGCUCAACCUCGGAACUGCCUUUGAUACUGCAAAUCUCGAGUCCGGAAGAGGUGAGUGGAAUUCCUAGUGUAGAGGUGAAAUUCGUAGAUAUUAGGAAGAACACCAGUGGCGAAGGCGGCUCACUGGCCCGGUACUGACGCUGAGAUACGAAAGCGUGGGGAGCAAACAGG